UACGAAGGGGGCUAGCGUUGCUCGGAAUCACUGGGCGUAAAGGGUGCGUAGGCGGCGCUUUAAGUCAGGGGUGAAAUCCUGGAGCUCAACUCCAGAACUGCCUUUGAUACUGAAGAUCUUGAGUUCGGGAGAGGUGAGUGGAACUGCGAGUGUAGAGGUGAAAUUCGUAGAUAUUCGCAAGAACACCAGUGGCGAAGGCGGCUCACUGGCCCGAUACUGACGCUGAGGCACGAAAGCGUGGGGAGCAAACAGG
rnacentral:rRNA from 1 species